GAGUUUGAUCCUGGCUCAGAUUGAACGCUGGCGGCAUGCCUUACACAUGCAAGUCGAACGGCAGCACGGGAGCAAUCCUGGUGGCGAGUGGCGAACGGGUGAGUAAUGUAUCGGAACGUACCUUUCAGUGGGGGAUAACGUAGCGAAAGUUACGCUAAUACCGCAUAUUCUGUGAGCAGGAAAGCAGGGGAUCGCAAGACCUUGCGCUGAUUGAGCGGCCGAUAUCAGAUUAGCUAGUUGGUGAGGUAAAGGCUCACCAAGGCGACGAUCUGUAGCGGGUCUGAGAGGAUGAUCCGCCACACUGGAACUGAGACACGGUCCAGACUCCUACGGGAGGCAGCAGUGGGGAAUUUUGGACAAUGGGGGCAACCCUGAUCCAGCCAUGCCGCGUGAGUGAAGAAGGCCUUCGGG
rnacentral:rRNA from 1 species